GGGGAAUUUUCCGCAAUGGGCGAAAGCCUGACGGAGCAAUACCGCGUGAGGGAGGACGGCUUUUGGGUUGUAAACCUCUUUUAUCAGGGAAGAAUCGAUGACGGUACCUGAUGAAUCAGCACCGGCUAACUCCGUGCCAGCAGCCGCGGUAAUACGGAGGAUGCAAGCGUUAUCCGGAAUUAUUGGGCGUAAAGCGUCCGUAGGUGGUUUAUCAAGUCUGCUGUCAAAGCGUGCGGCUUAACCGCAUAAGGGCAGUGGAAACUGAUGAACUAGAGUGCGAUAGGGGUAACAGGAAUUCCCAGUGUAGCGGUGAAAUGCGUAGAUAUUGGGAAGAACACCAGCGGCGAAAGCGUGUUACUGGGUCUGCACUGACACUGAGGGACGAAAGCUAGGGGAGCGAAAGGGAUUAGAUACCCCUGUAGUCCUAGCCGUAAACGAUGACAACUAGGCGUGGUUCGUAUCGACCCGAGCCGUGCCGUAGCCAACGCGUUAAGUUGUCCGCCUGGGGAGUACGCACGCAAGUGUGAAACUCAAAGGAAUUGACGGGGGCCCGCACAAGCGGUGGAGUAUGUGGUUUAAUUCGAUGCAACGCGAAGAACCUUACCAAGGCUUGACAUCCUCGGAACCCUGAUGAAAGUUAGGGGUGCCUUCGGGAGCCGAGAGACAGGUGGUGCAUGGCUGUCGUCAGCUCGUGUCGUGAGAUGUUGGGUUAAGUCCCGCAACGAGCGCAACCCACGUUUUUAGUUGCCAGCAUUCAGUUGGGCACUCCAGAGAGACUGCCGGUGACAAACCGGAGGAAGGUGUGGAUGACGUCAAGUCAGCAUGCCCCAUACGCCUUGGGCUACACACGUACUACAAUGCGUCGGACAAAGAGCAGCCAGCCAGCGAUGGUGAGCCAAUCUCAUAAACCGACGCUCAGUUCAGAUUGCAGGCUGCAACUCGCCUGCAUGAAGGCGGAAUCGCUAGUAAUCGCAGGUCAGCAUACUGCGGUGAAUACGUUCCCGGGCCUUGUACACACCGCCCGUCACACCAUGGGAGUUGGUCACGCCCGAAGUCGUUACUCUAACUGCUUGCAGAGUAGGACGCCGAAGGUGGGGCUGAUGACUGGGGUGAAGUCGUAACAAGGUAGCCGUACCGGAAGGUGUGGCUGGAUCACCUCCU
rnacentral:rRNA from 1 species